AAGUCGUAACAAGGUUUCCGUAGGUGAACCUGCGGAAGGAUCAUUAACACGUAUCCAACGUUAAACAACCCUGUGAACUUUCAGCCUGCUCUUGUAGCCCAUGAGGAACAGCAAUCCCGUAAAUAAUUGCCGAACAGUUUUGAUUCGGGACCACUGUCCAAAAGGAGUUGCAAUUGAGCGGUAGAGGCAGUGGCAUGGCUUCCAAGUGGCACUGGCUGCGUAAGGAUAACGCCUCACGGUUGCUAGAGGUCGAUCACCGACCGGCAGACAUGUCACAGGGUCACCCUUAAUAAUCCCACUUUUAAUGCCACGCCUAGUGGUAACGGGCUAGGUAAAAAAAACCGAACAACUGUUAACAAUGAUAUGGUUCUC
rnacentral:misc_RNA from 1 species